rnacentral:tRNA from 1 species
AGGGGUAUAGCUCAAUGACAGAGUACAUGCUUGGUGUGCACAAGGUCCUGGGUUCAAUCCCCAGUGCCUCCA